CCUGGAGCCUUCUUCCCUUGUGUUGGCAGAUCUGGCAGGAAGGUAGGUGGAGAGGCAGCGAGGCCUGGAGGCUCAUCAGGAAGAAAUAAGAAGGCUGGAGGCCAAUGAUUGAGAGAACAAUGUACUGGGGAUCGAACUCAGGACCUUGUGCUUGCCAGGCAGUGUUUCUGGAUUCUGCAAACAUAUUUUCUAUGCAGAGGGCACCAGGAAAUAUAAGUGCCGACUCUGUAACCAAAUGGUGAGCGGGAAUUGAUGAGACAUCAUUACGGAAUACAAAAUACGUACUGUGUUUUGAUUCAGAAAGUGUUAAUUUUUUCAGAUUUCUCUCAGGCUAACUUUAUAAAUUAUGAAAAACAAAACAAACCAAAGAAUAUCAGUUUCAUCAGCUUAAGCCAUGUUACAGGUAAUUAUUGUAAAGAAUUCAUCUUUGGAGGACAAAGCCUAAGUUUAGGUCUUUCUGUGCACUGCCAGGUAGCUGCAAUGGGGUCCACAGCAGACAGGCGUGAGGACGAGCAACUUGGGCUGCUCCACUCAAAACACACUCACACUGUAAGAUGGGCUUCCCAGGCAGCACUGAACAUGACUGUAGUUUCCUUGGAGGUAGCUGGGGAUGCUUCUGAGCCAGGGAUGGGGUAGAGUUAAUUCUGGUCAGGCAAGGUCCUCCAUGGCAUUAACCAAGGAAAUUGGAAUCUUGAGCAGUUGUCUAACAAAACAC
rnacentral:lncRNA from 1 species